rnacentral:rRNA from 1 species
UACGUAGGCAGCGAGCGUUGUUCGGAGUUACUGGGCGUAAAGGGUGUGUAGGCGGUUCUCUUAGUUUGGUGGGAAAUCUCCCGGCUCAACCGGGAGGGUGCGCCGAAAACUGGAGGGCUAGAGUGCGGGAAGGGAGAGUAGAAUUCCUGGUGUAGCGGUGAAAUGCGUAGAUAUCAGGAGGAAUACCGGUGGUGUAGACGGCUCUCUGGACCGCGACUGACGCUGAGACACGAAAGCGUGGGUAGCAAACAGG